UGUCAGAUUCAGAAAUGUCCCGAUGUGCCCGGAUCUCUCCACUGUGGAGACCAAUAGUGAAAAGUCCCGGAUCAGUCGAUUUCACGAUGUGAUAUGAAAGCCACGCGUUUUGUCCAGAGUCAGCAUCCACAGCUAUCACCUUGGAAACCAGGGACCCUGCCAGAGCAGCUUUGGGGACCAUCUCAGUCAUCAAGGAGUUCCCUGCUGGAGCAGGGUAUAAUAUCUGGGGAGAGUUAUCAUUCUCAUCUGUUAUGAAGACACUCACAGUCACGUUACUGCUGAGUGGAGGAGAACCAUUGUCUCUGGCUACAACAUGGACCUUAAAGCUCCUAAACUGCUCAUAAUCAAAUGCUCUCACUGCGUGCAUCACUCCCGUGUCUCCGUUGAUGGAUAAAAAUGAGGACACCGGAACACCAUUAAUCUCACUGGGCCAUAGAGAAUAGACCACUGUACCGUUCUGUCUCCAGUCUGGGUCUCUGGCAGUAACAGAACACAUAGAGGAGCCAGGCUUGUUAUUUUCAGUCACAUAGGCGCUGUAGGGUUGUUCUUCAAACGCAGGAGGAUUGUCAUUCACGUCUGACACAGAUAAAUGAAUCGUCGUUGAGGAGGAUAAAGGUGGAGACCCCUCGUCAGUGGCAGUGAUAGUUAUGUUAUAAUCUGAUAUUUUCUCUCGGUCUAAUUCACGUGUUGUUACCAAAGAAUAAUAGUUUUUGAUUGAGGGGUUUAGUUUGAAAGGAACAUUUUGUUGAAUGGAGCAGCGGACCUGUCUAUUUCCCUCUGAAUCUUUAUCCUGUACAUUGAUGAUGCCCACCUCUGUUCCAGGUAACACGUUCUCGGGGAUGAGAUUGCUCAGUGAUUUAAUGAAUAUCGCUGGUGCGUUAUCAUUUAUAUCGGUUAUAUCUAUGAUUACUUUUGUGUUAGAUGCUAAACCUGACCCAUCUUUGGCUUGGACGCGCAUUUCAUAAUCUGUCCUCUCCUCAAAGUCCACAGGUCCGACGACUCUGAUUACACCAGUCCCUUUGUCUAUAGAAAACACCGUCGAUGCUUUUUCAGAUAUACUACUGAAGUCAUACGUCACUUCCCCAUUUGCACCCUUAUCUGCGUCGGUGGCGCUGACAGUUACCACUACAGAAUGUAAAGGGGGGUUUUCUGUCAGACUGACUCUAUAAACGUCCUGGCUAAACACUGGGAUAUUAUCGUUAGCAUCCAACACAGUGACGUGUAUAACUACAGUACCAGAUCUCUGCGGAGUCCCACCAUCAACAGCAGUAAGUAACAACGUCACCUCCUCUUGCUUUUCUCGAUCCAGCUCUUUUUCUAACACUAACUCACUGUAUUUCCCACCAUCACUAUUUGUAUGAACGGCCAAAACAAAAUGUUCAUUCCUGUCGAGCGUAUAGCUUUGCACGGUGUUUAAUCCUAUGUCCGAAUCAUGAGCUUCGUCUAAGGGAAAACGCUCCCCUUUGUCAGCCGAUUCCCUUAUUUCUAGAUUCAUGCGUUCAUUGGGGAAACGAGGUGAAUUGUCAUUUACGUCUUGAAUUUGCACAGUAAUACGAUGUAGCUCCAGAGGGUUUUCAAGCACAAGCUCAUAUUUUAGUGCACACGUAAGCUUCGACCCACACAGCUCCUCUCUAUCUAUUCUUUCAGUCACAAUAAGGUUGCCAGCCGCGAGGUUGAUGUCACAAUAACGUUGACUGAUGCCAUCCAUAUCCAACCGAGCUUUGCGAUCAGAGAAUCUCUUCGCAUCCAGCCCGAGAUCUUUGGCUAUAUUUCCAAUGACAAAUCCACGCUUCGCUUCCUCGGGAGCAGAGUAGCCCAUGUCUCCAUACGUGUUACGAGGGAGAACAAGAAAGAAAACCGAGGAGAAAACGAAGGCAGAGACCGAUAAUCGUGUAUCCAUCAUCAUCAACGUGGGAGCGGUCCUUUCCUUAAGAUGUUGAUUUACAGAAUUCGUUAUUCCAUUAAAAAAAAAUGUAGUCCAAGUUCCAAUAUUCUCUCCAAGCAAGGAUAUGUUGAAACUAGUCAAUGCUUUGUUUUUU
ensembl:lncRNA